AAUAGAUAAAUUUUUUAUGUUUUUUAUAAUUUAUUAUAAAUUUAUUUUACAUAUAAAUUAUAGUAUUAAAUUUUAAUUAUUUUAAUAAUAAUUAAUUAAAUUUUAUAGUAAUUAAAAUUAAAAAUUUAAGAAAUUAAGAUUUAGUAAUAUGAAAAUUAAUAACUAAUUUUGUGCCAGCAGUUGCGGUUAAACAAAGGUUAAAUUAAAUUAUUUCAGUAUUUAAUUAAUAAAAUUAAAUUAAAAAAAAUAUUAAAUUAUUAAGUGAAAUUUUAAUUUAAUUAAAUUUUAUAUGAGAUUUAUGAUUUAAUAAAUUUAAAAAUAAACUAGGAUUAGAUACCCUAUUAUUAUAAAUUUAAUUAAUAAUACUAAAAUAGUAAAUAAUAUAUUAUUGAAACUUAAAUAAUAUGGCGGUAUUUUAGUUCAUUUAGAGGAAUCUGUCUAGUAAUUGAUAAUCCACGAAUAAAUUUACUUAAUUUAUAAUUUUGUAUAUCAUUGUUAAAAAAAUAUUUUUAAAUAAAUAUAAUAUUUUAAAAUUUAAAAUAAAAAUUAAUUCAGAUCAUGAUGCAGAUUAUAAUUAAGUUUAAGAUGGAUUACAAUAAAAUUAUUUAAAUGGAAAAAAUUUUGUAAUAAUUGAUUGAAGGUGGAUUUAAAUGUAAUUUUAAUUAAUUUAUUAAAAUGAUUAAAAAUUGAAAUAUGUACAUAUUGCCCGUCACUUUCAUUUAAAAAUUGAAAUAAGUCGUAACAAAGUAGAGGUACUGGAAAGUGUUUCUAGAAUGAA
rnacentral:ncRNA from 1 species